UCAACAUGCAAAAAAUUGACGAAAAAAAACGCAGCUUAUACGAGGAUGAACUACUACGGAAAAUGUUGGAAUGCGAUCCUACCAAGAGAAUUACGUCUAAACAAGUUGUCGAUCAACUAAAAUCCAUCAAGGAAAAGCUUGCUAGAAAAGAGGCAGAAUUACUUCAACUAUGUGCUCGUGACUCCCAAGUGGAACU